rnacentral:rRNA from 1 species
UGCCUAGAUGAUUUUAGUGCUUGCACUAAAUGAAACUAGAUACAAGCGAGCGGCGGACGGGUGAGUAACACGUGGGUAACCUGCCCAAGAGACUGGGAUAACACCUGGAAACAGAUGCUAAUACCGGAUAACAACACUAGACGCAUGUCUAGAGUUUGAAAGAUGGUUCUGCUAUCACUCUUGGAUGGACCUGCGGUGCAUUAGCUAGUUGGUAAGGUAACGGCUUACCAAGGCAAUGAUGCAUAGCCGAGUUGAGAGACUGAUCGGCCACAUUGGGACUGAGACACGGCCCAAACUCCUACGGGAGGCAGCAGUAGGGAAUCUUCCACAAUGGACGAAAGUCUGAUGGAGCAACGCCGCGUGAGUGAAGAAGGGUUUCGGCUCGUAAAGCUCUGUUGGUAGUGAAGAAAGAUAGAGGUAGUAACUGGCCUUUAUUUGACGGUAAUUACUUAGAAAGUCACGGCUAACUACGUGCCAGCAGCCGCGGUAAUACGUAGGUGGCAAGCGUUGUCCGGAUUUAUUGGGCGUAAAGCGAGUGCAGGCGGUUCAAUAAGUCUGAUGUGAAAGCCUUCGGCUCAACCGGAGAAUUGCAUCAGAAACUGUUGAACUUGAGUGCAGAAGAGGAGAGUGGAACUCCAUGUGUU